AACCUCCUCCUCCUUUUCACCUUAAGGCUUUUGGAAGAACAGACCAGAGAGCAAACGAAACCGGCGACGCGGAAUUUGGAACGAUGGUUCAUUUUGCUGUUCACAGGAACUGCUAAACAUUUGGAGUGGUGGAGGAUUUGAUUCUUCACAACAGCAUCAACAGCAACAGCAGUUGUUUAGACAGCUGAAUUUAGAUAGACUGGUAAGACUUGCACAGCCACAAGGACAACAACCAGAUUUCAGUGACCUUGUUGUUUUCUCCGCUGUAAGUUUUCAUGCUCCGUCUCUCUCUCUUUCUCUCAAGCAAGUGAAUUGAACACCUCCGUCAAGGGAAUUUAAUGCAUUCCAGUGGUAUCCUCCUCAGGAUAUAGAGGUGGUUGCAAAGUAGAGAACUUCUGUAACCAUAUACACAGGAAUCUGGUGAAGGAUAACCGUUAGAUAUCAAACGAUCGUGAAAACACAUUAAACUAGAAAGAACAAAAAUGUCGUUGAAGUGUUCACAUAACUAGCAAACUGCUGGCUAAGAAAGCUGCGUCUGAUUUAUUUUCAUGGAAAUCGUUGAUGAAUGUUGUAAUGCAGAUAUGGAAAUUGUUGAUGGAUGAAGACAAGAGAUACUUUGUGUUUCUUACUUUCUUUAGCAUUUUUGUGUUUUUUUUUUCCAUCUGUGUGAGAGAAAGAGACUCAACUACUUAAUCUAAGAAUGUUUAUGUGUUUGAAUGUGUGUUUAAGACAAUUUGGAUUGAGAAAUUGAACUUAAAUUUCAAUUGUAUUAGUUUUACAGGUUUUAUCUGUUGACAGCCCUAUAGAUGGCAUAAUUUCCACUC